UAAUUUAAACUAGAUAUAUCAUUGAUAAACAAUAAUAGGUUGUUUUACAUCAUUGUUUUUCUUUCUUAAAAAUUAUUGUUCUAGAUGUUUUAAAAACUGGGACUACCUACGUAAUAAUUUUAUGUACGUAUUGUUUUUUUGGCAAAGAUUUCAUAAUAUACCUGAAGGAACAUGAUUAAAUUCAAAGUUUAGACACAAUUUGGAAAACAUUGGUGCAAAUACUUAAAAAAAGACAAACAAUUUUUUUAAGAGACAAAUUAUUAGAAUAUUAUGACGAUGACUCAGAAAAAGUACUAAAUCUAAAAGGGUAUUAUAAAUACUUAAGUUAUGGAAAGUGUCAAAGUAAAUUUUCAACUCGCACCACUAACCAUUUGUAGGAAUAAAACAUUUGAAAUAAAUUUAAAAUUAUUUUAUGUUACAUUUGUUAUGAGUAUAAUAAAAACUCAAAUAGUUAUCAAUAAAAUGUUCAUCUUUAUUCUUACAAAAUAUGAACUAUAGUUCAAAUUAUUUAAGAAUUCAAUGUAAAAUGAAUUUUUGAUCUUCUUCCAGGUUUUUUAGAAAAAAAUAUUAUUACUUAAAACUAAUAAAUUAUUCCACAGUUGAGAUUUCACUAUAGAAAUCAGCAUUUUUU